rnacentral:rRNA from 1 species
UGGGGAAUAUUGCACAAUGGGCGCAAGCCUGAUGCAGCCAUGCCGCGUGUAUGAAGAAGGCCUUCGGGUUGUAAAGUACUUUCAGUCGGGAGGAAGGUGGUAAGGUUAAUAACCUUAUCAAUUGACGUUACCGACAGAAGAAGGACCGGCUAACUCCGUGCCAGCAGCCGCGGUAAUACGGAGGGUGCAAGCGUUAAUCGGAAUUACUGGGCGUAAAGCGCACGCAGGCGGUUGAUUGAGUCAGAUGUGAAAUCCCCGGGCUUAACACGGGAAUUGCAUCUGAUACUGGUCAGCUAGAGUCUUGUAGAGGGGGGUAGAAUUCCAUGUGUAGCGGUGAAAUUCGUAGAGAUGUAGAGGAAUACCGGUGGCGAAGGCGGCCCCCUGGACAAAGACUGACGCUCAGGUGCGAAAGCGUGGGGAGCAAACAGG